rnacentral:rRNA from 1 species
UACGGAGGGUGCUAGCGUUGUUCGGAAUUACUGGGCGUAAAGGGCGCGUAGGCGGCCGUUUGCGUCGGAUGUGAAAGCCCGGGGCUCAACCUCGGAACUGCCUUCGAUACUGGGAGUCUUGAGUGUGGAAGAGGUUGGUGGAACUGCGAGUGUAGAGGUGAAAUUCGUAGAUAUUCGCAAGAACACCAGUGGCGAAGGCGGCCAACUGGUCCACUACUGACGCUGAGGUGCGAAAGCGUGGGGAGCAAACAGG